AUCAAUUCCACGGCGGGGUAAUAACGUUAAUGACAAGCAUUUUUUUCUGAGUUUGUUCUAUAGUUAAAAUGGCAUCUCUAAACAAAGGAAGCCACGUUUGGAAGUAUUUUGAGGAACCGGACGAGAAAACCGUGGUAUGUAAAUAAUUAUGCCAAACAAAAUUGCCGUACCACAAAAACACAAGUUCAAUGCUUGACAAUUUGAAAUUAAAACAUUCAGAAUUAUUGUGGAUGGAGGUACUGAUGUCAAUAAAAAGCAAAUAACCAUAACAACAUUUGCUAUAGAUUUGGCCGAACAGGAUGUGUCACGUUAUCCCCUAUGAGGACAGUGCCAUUUAUGUUUAGCGCAAUUUUUAUUUGUAUGUUGGAACUACUGCACUAAACUAAAGGACCUCUGAGACACACUUCAAACAGGUGUUGUAAACUGGAAUAUGUUUACUCAAGAAUACAUUCAGGAGCACCGCUCUGAGUUUCAGAUUACUGAGUGCGGACACUGUGGCACCAGCUGCAAGGACUUGGCACCAGGAUAUGUGGGAGAUGGACAGCAUGGAGUUUUGAGAGGCUAUUAUGCUGAAGUGCAACACCCUGGACUCUGUUCAGUGGACUGUGCCCAAGGACACAGUCCAUUUUAAAAUAAUGUGAAAAUCUGUAAACCUUGUAAAUAGAUAUUGGUCUUGUUAAAAUGCAUUACCCUGAAAUGUGACCUUUUGGUCUCAGUCUUAAUUAAUUGUUAGUAAUUUACUUUAUUAUUAUUUAUUUCUUAGCAGACACCCUUAUCCAGGGCGACUUACAAUUGUUACAAGAUAUCACAUUAUUUUUACAUACAAUUACAUUAUUUUUUACACAUUAUUUUUACAUACAAUUACCCAUUUAUACAGUUGGGUUUUUUACUGGAGUAAUCUAGGUAAACUACCUUGCUCAAGGGUACAGCAGCAGUGUCCCCCCAGCAGGGAUUGAACCCACGACCCUCCGGUCAAGAGUCCAGAGCCCUAACCACUACUCCACACAUCUUAAAUAAUAAAUAGUGAGAAAACAAAACCAAAAAAAUCUAUCUGUUAGUUAUUUUUAAACCCUUUCCUUAGCCCUGCCUUAACUCUCUGUUUGUGGUAUGCAGUAGUACAGAGGAGUCAUCUAUUCGGGUAUGUAUUUGCUUACGAUUGUAAGUCGCCCUGGAUAAGGGCGUCUGCUAAGAAAUAAAUAAUAAUAAUAAUAAAUAAUAAUGAUGAUAUCACGUUUUUGAAAGCUAUAGGAAAGCACACUAAGCUGGUCAAAAGGAUAACAAGCUGCUGUCCAGAGAUUCUUGGGCAGGACUUUUUUUUUUUUUUUUGCUGGCUGGCUGGAAUUAACUUGUGUGUUCAGUGUGCAGACUACAGGGAGAGAAAGGCAGCGCGACGUUAAAGAACUCACAAAAUGCUCUUGAUUCAAGGUACACUACCUGUGAAACAUUUUGAGGCCUGAAGAGAAGUGUUAAAAGUGUCCAGUUAAUCAAAUAAUUAGACCAAUGAAGUAAUUGAGAGCUCGGGUGGAAUGAAAGCCAGAAGACACUGCGGCCCUCCAGAAACUGAGUUUGACACCCCUGCUGAACUAAAGCGAAUGUUAAAGUGGCAGUUUCAGUAUUUGUUUUAGUAUGUUUGUGGCCUUCGUAAUUGUCAUAACGCAUGUAGCCUAUUUGUUUCUUCAGAUUUUCUUUUUUUACUGUAUGUUUAUUAAAAUGGUUUCUCCUUUGACCAUGCUGGGAUUUUAGUUGUUGUUGUUCCUAAAUGCAUGUCUGUAUGUGUUUUUACGGUUUACAAAUAAGUCCAGCACACUUCAUGAUCUUCCUUUGUAGAUAUUGAGAUGAGGAAGAGUCCAUUUUUUGUCUCACUGGACUACAGUCUGGCAAAAACACUGUUGAUUUAUACCAAAGAAAAUACUCAACAUAGCUUGGCCAGCUGUGCAAUCCUAAUGAUGUAUAAAAUCACUCCCCUGGGACCAGUAAGAGGAAUUAGCUCAGUGUCAGGGCAGGAGGGAGAGCCAAAGGCAACACUGUGAGCAGCUGCUGCUGCUGAGAUCAGCCUGCACAUCCAGGCUUGCAGGUCCCUGUUUGGGUCCAUGUUCCUCAGGUAAUGUUAAAGGUUUGCUAAACAAGGUAUAAACAUGUAUUUUCUGACUUUUGCAUAUCCGGAAUUAAAAAAAACAAAUCCAGAAAUAUAUUUACCUUGUCAAUGUUUUUACAGACAUACAAGAAUGUGAAAUGAGAAAAAUAUCACUUUUUUGUUGUGGUGUGCUGUGAUAAAGAGAGAAAGAAUCAAUGUUGUAAAUCUCCCUCUCGACCAGAAAUGGCGCUGUGUAAGGUUGGUAGGAAGCUUUCCUCUAGAGUGGCUGACUCGAUGGUAGGUGGAAAUCGGAAGUCGACCAUCUUGGAGGUAGCGCGUAGCUGCAAGUGCACUAAGCGACUCCAUUGCGAUCAGCUGUAGGGCAAGCAGCGAUUGGACAAACAAUGGCACCGGGCUGAUCGCAGGGAGGAGUUCUGGUAGUACAAAGGAGAUGCAGCUACGUCAAUAUGACCCCCUUUCAAUGAAUUAGUAAUCAAGUCGGAGCACUGUUUGUUUUUAUUUUCUGUUGUCUUUUCCAUGCACGAACAUGGGCGUGGAUUAUUGUGUGUUAUUAUUAGGCUUGCUACUUUUUGAUUUUAAUUGGUAAAGCUUGUUAAAUGUCGAAUUCCACAAAAAUAUGAAAAAAUAAAAAUCAGAUAGUAGCAAGCCUACUUAUUAAGAGCUAAAAUUCUGCCAUAUACCCACUGAUAUCAUUGCUGAUAGAAGGGAGGUCUUUUUGAUUUAAAAUCUUUAUUAAAUAUGGAUGGUUCUGAACUGGGACACUUGGUCUGGACAUUCACCUCCUGACACCUUGUUAUUGACAAAAGUAAUUAUUACAGUAACGCAUUUCAUAAAUAACCAGUUACCCCUAACUGUGUAAACCCAAUAAAAUGGGGAGUGUGGCAGGGGAGAGGAAAAGCCCUGCACAUAAUGAGAGGGGGUAGGGCAAAGCCAUGCUUGUAAAUAUUGUAUUAUAAUUUAAAAUGAUUGUUGUUUAAAAUGCAUUGGGUGGUUUGUAUGUUAGUGGUGGUUGGUAGGGAUGGGGUUCAUUUCCUAACCCAAUUGAAUGAUUAAUGGUUAAUAAGCUAAAGCCACAUGGUAUGUAAGCAGGGGGAAAUCCAUUGUUUGGGGAGUUGUGGUUUGUGUGUCUGAGAGGAGUGCUGGGGAGGUGUUUUUUUUUUUUUCUUUUUUUUUUUUUUUUUGGUGUUCCUGUGAAGAUUAGAAAGUGGUCCUUGAAGGUCAAUGCCCAGCCUGACAACAGAAUUGUUUUUGUUUAACCUUUUAUUUUAGCCCUUGUGCUGGUUACUUUGUUCCUGGGUGUUUGGCUCAUGGUGUUCAUGAUUUGUUUUGCUAAACCUUUUUAUUUUGCUCUGUGAGCAGUGUUUUUGAUUUACUUUUGUUUAAUAAAUGCGUGCCCCAGUGCUUAAACCUGCA